GCCUGUGGUGGGCUGUGCAGGGCACCUUUGCGCCUCGCGCUGGGUGGCCGUUUGUUCGCAUACGGUAGUUCCAACCCUGUACAGUCCAUCUCCACC
rnacentral:antisense_RNA from 1 species